GUACGGGAGGCAGCAGUGGGGAAUUGUUCGCAAUGGGCGCAAGCCUGACGACGCAACGCCGCGUGGAGGAUGAAGAUCUUCGGGUCGUAAACUCCUUUCGAUCGGGACGAAUUCCUUUGUGGUGAACAAUCACGAAGGUUGACGGUACCGAGAGAAGAAGCCCCGGCUAACUCCGUGCCAGCAGCCGCGGUAAUACGGGGGGGGCAAGCGUUGUUCGGAAUUACUGGGCGUAAAGGGCUCGUAGGCGGCCAACUAAGUCGGACGUGAAAUCCCUCGGCUUAACCGGGGAACUGCGUCCGAUACUGGUUGGCUUGAGUUUGGGAGAGGGAUGCGGAAUUCCAGGUGUAGCGGUGAAAUGCGUAGAUAUCUGGAGGAACACCGGUGGCGAAGGCGGCAUCCUGGACCAACACUGACGCUGAGGAGCGAAAGCCAGGGGAGCAAACGGGAUUAGAUACCCCGGUAGC
rnacentral:rRNA from 1 species